rnacentral:rRNA from 1 species
CGUAGGCGCGAGCGUUGUCCGGAUUUACUGGGCGUAAAGGGCUCGUAGGCGGUCCGUCGCGUCGGCUGUGAAAGACCGCAGCUCAACUGCGGAAACGCAGUCGAUACGGGCGGACUAGAGGACGGUAGAGGCAAGCGGAAUUCCUGGUGUAGCGGUGAAAUGCGCAGAUAUCAGGAGGAACACCGAUGGCGAAGGCAGCUUGCUGGGCCGUUCCUGACGCUGAGGAGCGAAAGCGUGGGAGCGAACAGGAUU